UACAGAGGUCUCAAGCGUUGUUCGGAUUCAUUGGGCGUAAAGGGUGUGUAGGUGGCGCCGUAAGUCGGGUGUGAAAUUUCGGAGCUUAACUCCGAAAUUGCACUGGAUACUGCUCUGCUAGAGGGCUGGAGAGGAGAUCGGAAUUCACGGUGUAGCAGUGAAAUGCGUAGAUAUCGUGAGGAAGACCAGUGGCGAAGGCGGAUCUCUGGACAGCUCCUGACGCUGAGGCGCGAAGGCUAGGGGAGCAAACGGG
rnacentral:rRNA from 1 species